GACGAACGCUGGCGGCGUGCCUAAUACAUGCCAGUUGAGCGCUGAAGGUUGGUACUUGUACCAACUGGAUGAGCAGCGAACGGGUGAGUAACGCGUGGGGAAUCUGCCUUUGAGCGGGGGACAACAUUUGGAAACGAAUGCUAAUACCGCAUAAAAACUUUAAACACAAGUUUUAAGUUUGAAAGAUGCAAUUGCAUCACUCAAAGAUGAUCCCGCGUUGUAUUAGCUAGUUGGUGAGGUAAAGGCUCACCAAGGCGAUGAUACAUAGCCGACCUGAGAGGGGGAUCGGCCAAAUUGGGAAUGGGACACGGCCCAAACUCCUACGGGAGGCAGCAGUAGGGAAUCUUCGGCAAUGGACGAAAGUCUGACCGAGCAACGCCGCGUGAGGGAAGAAGGGUUUCGGAUCGUAAAACUCUGUUGGUAGGGAAGAACGUUGGUGAGAGUGGAAAGCUCAUCAAGUGACGGUAACUACCCAGAAAGGGACGGCUAACUACGUG
rnacentral:rRNA from 1 species